GGUGGCUUGGUGGUAGAGUGCAUGCCUUGCAUGCAUGAGGCCCUGGGUUUGAUUCUCAGUACCA
rnacentral:tRNA from 1 species